AAACUUUCAUUCUCAAAGCACAAAGAAACCCGACCCGAACAACUUUCCCUACCAAUUUGGCCAGCACCACCCUCAUCUCCUGCAACUUCUCUGCUCUCCCAUUCAUUUAUCUCAAAACCCGUAACUCCAACUCCAGAAUCUCAUUUAUCAGAACCCCAAACCCAAACCCUCCAAUUCUCAGUAAACCCAAACACCCAAUUUCUACAUUUCAGAAAAGGGAUGGCCUUCAAAUCUGUCAGAGCUCCUUCAACACUCAGAAUCCAGAAAACCCAGCUGCUGAAAAUUGAGCUAAAUUGGAGAGUGAGAACGGAGAUGGUGGGGAUGGAGGAGACUGGACAACAUCAGCUCUGCUUUUCGUGUUGUGGGUUGGACUCAUCUACUAUGUUUUCAACCUCACUCCUGACCAGACUCCGAUGUUGCCGGGACUGUCCACAUUGGCUCAAGAUGGACUAACAUCAAGGUGAGUAGCAGCGUGCAUUCGACCGAUCCUGUGGCUGUGUAUGAAGUUGAUAAGGUCCUUCUCCCUAAAGCAAUCUUUGGCACCAACAUUCCUCCUACCCUAGCUCCAGCACCAGCUCCUGACAUCAGCCCUGCUGCAGAUGCUCCAACUGCUUCAGAUGAGGUUGGGUCUCUACGAGCAUCUUCAACCCCAUCUUCUUCCUAUAGGGUAAUCAGCUUAGGUGUUUGGAGCCAGUUGGUUUUGGCCAUUUCAGGUGGGAUAGUCUUGUUCUUAUAAGAGAGGAUUUGUCAAGUCUUUAAUUUAUAUGAAGAGGGUAUAUCCAUUGCUUUGAUUUCAAGCCAUUUUUUGAUUACAUAUGUUACUGAAACUAUGAGAAUGUGAGUUUUCUUGUAUUAAUUACUACUUGUAUUUCAAUGACAUUUUGUUUGUGCUA